rnacentral:rRNA from 1 species
UGAAUGUUGACCUCGGAUCAGGUAGGAAUACCCGCUGAACUUAA